UACGUAGGGAGCAAGCGUUGUCCGGAAUCAUUGGGCGUAAAGCGCGCGUAGGUGGCCAUGUAAGUCCGCUGUGAAAGUCAAAGGCUCAACCUUUGAAAGCCGGUGGAUACUGCAUGGCUAGAGUACGGAAGAGGCGAGUGGAAUUCCUGGCGUAGCGGUGGAAUGCGCAGAUAUCAGGAGGAACACCAAUUGCGAAGGCAGCUCGCUGGGACGUAACUGACGCUGAGACGCGAAAGCGUGGGGAGCAAACAGG
rnacentral:rRNA from 1 species